rnacentral:lncRNA from 1 species
GUGUAUGUACACAACUGUAUAUAUAAUUAAACUAUUUCUAAGAUGAGGACCCAGAUCUUCUACUUACUCUCCCUUCUAGUCUUCAUUCCCAAGGCAUUCGGAUAGCUCUCCAUCCCAAUCUACAAUUAUAGAAAUGCUCUUAGUUGUGGUGAUAAGAAAUUAUUCUCUUGGUAGUUAUUUUUAAAAAACAAAAAAUAUCCUUCUAUCCCAUUCCCCCUGGCUAAAUUAAUUUACUCCUCCAAUAAGAGGAGUGUAAGAUUAAGAUUUGUUUUUGUUUGGUUUGGUUUGGGUUUUUUGGUUGUUGGUUAGUUGUUUGUUAGUGUAGAAAACUCCACCAGUACAAAUUCACAACUUGUUUGUGACUCUUUAGGCAGUAGCAAGAGCUACACCAAAACCCUACGAUUGUGUAAGAGUAACAAUACCCGAUGAUGAAAUGAAGAAUGUUUCCUAAAAGAGAUUGCAAAGGUACUUAAUUGACGCUCUUAAGACUUUGAGUGAGCAAUGAUAAACCAAACAAAUGUACUAAAUAAUCUUCUGGUUCAACACUGUUGCCACUCACACAGUCCCUAAUUUUUCUACAUCACAGUUGGCUCUUGGUUUCACAAACCAACUCCAUUUCUUGUGUAUUUCUACCUGGGUAACAUGUUUUCUGGUGUCGCCAUGUAUGGUGCAUCUACUUGAAUCAUCUUCAGUUGCAAAAUCCAAGCAUCCCAGUGGCUUCUUAGAAUCAGGAACUUGGCAUUUCAGUAUUACAGUUAAAUCCCAAUUUUUGUAAAGAGAUUUACCCAAGUCACAGGGCAACUAAAUGUUAAAAUCUGACCCAGAUUUCUUGCUGUGCUUUCUCAUAUUCUUUGCCCCUUCCACCUAACUUUUCAUCACUUUUGGUACCCUGGCUUCAUCCAUGCCCAUGCUUGUCCAGACCAGUGAAAGGUUAUAGGGGACAGCACGUUAAAAAUGGUCACAUUAGUACUUUGUAUUUUUGUGUACUGCUUUUUGGUCACAAACUAUGAUUUUCUUGGUGAUCAGGUACACUGAAUAAAUGAGGUUUAAGUAGAAGAACCCAUUGGAAAAGGCUUAAAAAGUAUAAUUAUAUUACAGAC